rnacentral:lncRNA from 1 species
ACUGUGAGACGGGUGGAAUGGAACAGGAGCAUUUAUUUUAUUUCGUGUCCAGGCCAAAACUUCACUCUCACAGCGGAGCGUAACGUACAUUUGGAAUGUGCUUUUAAUGCUCGAGGUGAAGCUGCAGCUGGUGAAGAACUGGGGCAAUGCUGCAGGGACAGCCAGGGACACAGACACUCCAACCAGGAAGUGCAGCUCAAAGCGAUUCGGUUAACCAGGGGGAGCUACAGCUACAGCCCCCCCCCCCCCCAGUAUCCCUUGUAGUCAUGUAUCCCAUGUAUCAUCUAUCUUUUUGGAUUUCAUUUAUGCACAAGUAGCAUUUUUAGCAACAAACCUUUAGCCUCCACACUUCCACCCAAAGGAAAGUACGUAGUGGGUCGAUUGGCUCCUUGUUCGAGACCAAAUCUUGUGUAGACUGUAGACUGUGGACUGGGGGACUGUGUGGCGGCAGUUUACUGCUGGGACAGCUGGUCAAAAUUAACAAGUUCCAGCAGGAGCUGGGGGCAGAGGCUUUCCCUCGCUCGCUUUCUCCAUGUCUUUCUGUAUGUUUGGGCGCAUAAGCAAUUUGUUGCAAAACUUUUCUGUAGCCCGGCUAUUGUGUUGUGCCUCUGCAGAACUCCAGAGUCCAGAGACCAGAGACGCUGCGUGUCGAAAGGAGAAGGGAUGGCCUGCAGCUUGUACGAGUAGCUGCGGGGCAGGGAGUGCUGGGGUGGACGCUGCUUGGGUUGGCACAAAACUUUUAAAAGAUCUUAAAUUUCUGUUGUUUUGUAAAAUUGAUGAAGUAAUUUGUUUGGUGAUUGCACAAACUUUGCGUGUCAAUAUUUUUGAAAAACAGCAAAGUUGCCCCAAAAACUUUGGACACACAAACACACAAACACACAGAGCUACAGCUGGAGUGGCGGAGUGGAAUUGCUGGGACACGCCCAAAACAGGGCUGCAGAGUGGGUUCUCCGUCUGGCCAAUAAGCCGUUUGCAUUUUUAAUGACUCGAAAUUGUGCAAAAGUGCCUGAACUCGAUCCAAACGGAAGGAGCUGGACCAGCGAGACAACAGAGAGAGUGCAGAGCGAGUGGAGAGUGGAGCAACAAUCCGGAUGGAUAGACAAUUGAGAAUAUUUGAUAUGUGUUAUGCCUUUUAUCGCUCUUACACCCUUGACCCCGAACCCAACCAACCAUUCCUCUAUGGCCCAUUGUGAGUGAAGCUUUUGACAACUUAAACGCGUCCAAUUGAGGACAAUUGUCCGUCCACAAACUCAAUUUGCAUACGAGCUGGCCCUGGCCAUUGCUCAGGAGGUUUCAGCCGGAAUUGUACACAAAUCGAAUCGAAUUGAAUCGAAUUUGAAUUCGAGGGAGAGUAGCGGAGAGGAAGCGCAAAAGCAAAUACAACAAAAAAAAAAGGAAACCUCAUUGAAUACUUCUUAGUCACAUUUCUUCUGCUCUAUUCAGGAUUAAUACAUUAUCAAUGCGAGUCCAUCUCAGAGGGACAGGGAAUGUCUGCCAUGCAGCCGGAUAAACCAGAUAACCAGCAAGACUGAAGUUAAAGCUCAGAC